rnacentral:rRNA from 1 species
UACGGAGGAUGCAAGCGUUAUCCGGAUUCAUUGGGUUUAAAGGGUGCGCAGGCGGAGAGAUAAGUCAGUGGUGAAAAACUGCCGCUCAACGGUAGUCUUGCCAUUGAUACUGUCUUUCUUGAGUAUGGAUGAGGUAGGCGGAAUGUGCAGUGUAGCGGUGAAAUGCUUAGAUAUUACACAGAACACCAAUUGCGUAGGCAGCUUACUGAGCCGACACUGACGCUGAGGCACGAAAGCGUGGGGAU